AUUGAACGCUGGCGGCAGGCCUAACACAUGCAAGUCGAACGAGUGGCGGACGGGUGAGUAAUGUCUCGGAAACUGCCUGAUGGCGGGGGAUAACUACUGGAAACGGUAGCUAAUACCGCAUACCAUCAGAUGGGCCCAGUUGGGGUUAGCUAGUUGGUGGGGUAACGGCUCACCAAGGCGACGAUCCCUAGCUGGUCUGAGAGGAUGACCAGCCAAAUUGGAACUGAGAAACGGUCCAGACCCUUACGGGAGGCAGCAGUGGGGAAUAUGGCACAUGGGGAGAAAGCAUGAGCCAGCCAUGCCGCGUGUAGGAAGAAGGCUUUCGGGUUGUAAAGUACUUUCAGCGGGGAGGCGUUACCCUCAGAAGAAGAACCGGCUAACGCCGUGCCAGCAGCCGCGGUAAUUC
rnacentral:rRNA from 1 species